UUGACCUCGGAUCAGGUAGGGAUACCCGCUGAACUUAAGCAUAUCAAUAAGCGGAGGAAAAGAAACCAACAGGGAUUGCCCUAGUAACGGCGAGUGAAGCGGCAUCAGCUCAAAUUUGAAAUCUGGCUCUUUCAGGGUCCGAGUUGUAAUUUGCAGAGGGCGCUUUGGCGUUGGCAGCGGUCCAAGUUCCUUGGAACAGGACGUCACAGAGGGUGAGAAUCCCGUACGUGGUCGCUGGCCUUCGCCGUGUAAAGCCCCUUCGACGAGUCGAGUUGUUUGGGAAUGCAGCUCUAAAUGGGAGGUAAAUUUCUUCUAAAGCUAAAUACUGGGCAGAGACCGAUAGCGCACAAGUAGAGU
rnacentral:rRNA from 1 species